GAAAUCGGUUGGUAUGCUGUUCAGGACACCAUUCAUAAGGACCAAUCUGCCUCUUAAGGGAGAUAGGCCUUGCCAAGAGGCUAGCCUCUUUUCAAACUUUUGUUUCACACUAUUACAGAUCUCAGCUAGCAUAUUCAGUUCCGAUACUUCAUUCAUAUGGUAGAUGAUACAUUUGACAUAUUGAUGCGAAGACCAGGCAUAGCCUCAAAUAGCAUAAGUGUGAGGUUUAGGUAUAGGACUGGUGAUUCCUCUUACUACAUCAUGUGUGCUCUGCUGGAAGGAUUCCA
rnacentral:misc_RNA from 1 species